rnacentral:lncRNA from 1 species
UUUCUUUUCUUUUUCUAUUGUUGCAGGUCUGAAAUAGAUUUUAUUUCAGAGAUUGUUCGUACAACCAAGUAUGAACUAGAUUUGAAACUAUUUAGUACUCCAGCUCAUCUAGUUGGAAUGGGCACUCGAGCUAAAUCUAUAAACUCAUGGUUGGAAAAUGAGCAAUCUGGUGAUAACAUUCUAGCAAUCUGUGGCAUGGGAGGUAGUGGCAAGACGACUCUGGCCAAAUUCAUUUACAACUCAAACAAGCAAAAAUUUGAAAGCAACAGUUACCUUGAAGAGAUUGGAAAGCACUCUAAACAGGCUCAUGGUUUGCUUGAGCUACAGAAACAACUUCUCACAGACAUUCUAGGUGGAAAUAAUAUUGCAAGUAUAUCUAGUGUAUCUGCAGGUACAAGGAAGGUUGAGGAUGCGUUGCAAGUGAAAAGGGCAAUUAUUAUUCUUGAUGACAUUGAUGAACGUGAAGAAUUAGAUGCUUUACUUGGAACAAAGGCGAUUCAUACACAAAGCAGGAUCAUAAUAACAACUAGGCUUCUAGAUAUAAAUGCAUGGUUUGGUCCAUAUCUUGGAGUUGCAAGGUGCACGAACUUGAAUUGUUGAAUGAUGAUGAAUCAUUAGAGCUUUUAAGUUCCCAUGCAUUUGGAUCCAAACUUCCUAUGGAAGGUUUCAAGGAGCUUGCAGUUCACUUAGCACAGUAUUGUGCUGGAAGCCCGCUAGCUCUUAAAGUACUAGGCUCUUCUCUAUUUGUCGAUGUUGGCCAGCCAUGGAAAAUAAAUAGCAUGCUAGAGGUUUGGAGAAGUGCAUUGAAUUCACUGAAUUCAUUGAAAGGAGAUCUUGAUUGUAAAAUCCAAGGUAUACUACAAAAGAGCUUUGACUCAUUACCACAUGCCAGUAACAAAGAGUUGUUUCUGCAUAUUGCUUUUUUCUUUGUUGGUGAAUAUGAGGGUUAUGUGGUAAAGAUUAUGGAGAAUGACUGGCAUGCAAAAGCUGGGAUCAGGACCCUCAUCAACAGAUGCCUUCUUACCAUCUCACCAAAGAAAAAACUGAUGAUGCAUCAACUGCUUCAAGAGAUGGCAAGAAACAUAGUCCUUCAAGAGUCCAGAGAUCCUGCAGCACGUAGUAGAGUCUUGCAAAAUGAUGAAUCUUAUCGUUUGUUGUCAAAAGGAGAGGUAAUAAGAUGCUUCUUAAUAAUGUGUAUCAUGAAACUAACUUUCCUGUGAACCAAACUCCUAUGUUAACUUGCCUUGUGUUAUUUCAUGUCUUUCUCCAUUAGGGUUCAGAAACAAUUGAAGGUCUAGCACUUGACAUGUACAAGCUCAGGAAAGGGAGGACAUCAAAUGUAAGCCAAAGAUGUGAAUGAGUAUGGUACUCUUGAUAUUUUUGCUGCAUUUACCUUUAAUUUCCAGUGCAUUUUAUGCCAUACAUAAGUUCUGUACUAAUUAAUUAACUUAAUGCUAAAUUUGCAGCCAACAACCCUUAAAACAGCUUCACUUGCAACAAUGGACAAACUGAAAUUUCUCAAGCUAAAACAUGUGGAACUCAAGGGGUCCUACAAGAAUUUUCCAGAGUUAAGAUGGUUGUGCUGGAGUCAUUGUCAUUUGGAAAAAAUACCCUCCGGCUUAUUGGGUAGCAGGUUGGUAGCUAUAGAUAUGAGAAAUGGAGGGUUGGAAAAGUUUGAACCACCCAUGGUAGGAAUUUGAUGUCAUGUUUGUCUCUUCACCUUUUUCGUUGCAUUUGGUUGUGGAAAAGUGUUUUCAAUUUUCUUGGAAAAGUUUUCAAAAAGUAGUAGAAAUUUUAUUUUCAGUUUUUAUUAGAAAAUUUAGAAAACAUGUUGGGUUAAAACUUUUGAGUUUUCUUUUUCCGUUUUAGAAAAUUAGAAAUUGUGUUUGGUUGUGUUUUUUCUAUCAGUUUUCAAUUUCCACUUUUUGUUAUUUUAAAUUGUUUUUGGACAAGACACUAUUGAAAUUCUUUAUAAGUUAUUUUAAAUAGGGUUAGGGGUGGGUUGGCUGUGGGGUAAGUAAGGUUAGGGUGAGGUGGGGUGGGUUGGGUAUGCGGCAUGGGGUGGGUAUGGCGGUAGGUAUGGGUAAGUGUUGGUGGGNNNNNNNNNNNNNNNNNNNNNNNNNNNNNNNUGUGGGGAUGGGGAGGGUGUGGGCUUAGGUAUGGGAGGGUGUGGGGGUGUCGGUCGGGUGUUUGUGUGUAUUUUAUAUUUUAGAAAACUUUUGGAAAUAGAAAAGUGUGGAAAACAGUAAUUAUCGGUUUUCCAAGUUCUUUAUAAUUUUGGAAAACGGAAAGUUUUCUUUUCCCGGAAAACUUUUAGAAAAAUUAUCAAACUAAACACGGUUUUAAAAAUUUCGCUUUUCUGGAAAAGUACGAGAAUUUUUUAGAACCAAACACAACCGUAGCUUCCCAGCUUUCUGACAGUUUAUGUGUUAACGUAUGAUGAAUGAAUAGGUUCUUAAUUCGAUGAAGAUCCUAAAUCUUGGAUGGUCGAUCAAUCUUGUCAGUGUCCGCCAUCUUUCCCGACUUCCUAAUCUCGAGACUUUGAUUCUCUCGUUCUGUUUCAGUCUCAGUCUGACUCAUGUUUGUGAAAGCAUUGGAUGUCUUAAGAAGCUUUCUCUAUUGGACUUUCGAGGGUGUAAUCAUCGUGGGAAGGUUGCAUCGAAUAAGAAGUACGAAAAUCAACUGUUGGUCCCCUUGCCAGACUCGUUAAAGGUUUUGUUUUUAAGUGAACAGUCGCCAUCCUUUUACAAUCACAUGAAUUUUGGCAGUAAUCUGUUAAUGACCCCGACCAAUUACACUAAUCUUAAAAUGCUUCGGGUACUUGAUGUGAGUCGUUCUCAAAAUAUAAAGUCCCUCCUAUGUCUCCCAAGUGCGCUACAAGAGUUGUAUACAUCUUGGUGUUAUUCACUGGAGAAAAUAACAUUUCAAUCAGCUCGGUGCCGAUUACGGAAAUUUGAAUAUAAUUUCUGUAAAAACUUGUGUGAAAUUCAAGGCUUUUACAAAUUGGUGCCAUUAGCAAAUCUUGAUGAAGCAGAUUUGGGACAUAUGAAAUGGAUCAAAGCAUAUCAUGAUACUAAGGUGGACCUCAAAGAUGUUGAUGUCUUUAAAUUUGAUUGGCAUAUGCAGGUACCUUUCUCUCAUGCAUGAAUAAGCACAAAAAAACACAUCUUUUUACCACCAAGAAACUGAUUAAUAUAUGAAUAAUUUGCUAUUUCUGCAAUAUGUUUGACCAGGUGCUGUAUGAAUAUGGUACAAUAAGCACAUUCCUUCAAGGCAUAAAGGCUCAAAGCUUGCUAACGUCUGAGUAUAUGUUAUCAUCCGCAUCCUUAUCCUUUCGUGUGCCUUCUUCUCCUGAGAAAUGCAGGAUCCGAGGAUUAAACAUAAUCGCCUCAUACAGAUUUUCAGACACGUUACACGAGGAUGAAGAUACAAAAUGGGCUUUGUUCACCAAAGUCAGCAAUACAACCAAAGGCCUUACUUGGAUGUAUAACCCUUUUAUCUAUGACAUUCCGGGAACUGAAGAAGAUGUGAUGUGGUUAAGCUAUUGGCCCCUUGGGAACAUAUUAGACGCUGGUGAUGAAAUCAAUGUGUCCAUCAUUGUAGGGGAUGGAUGGGAGGUAAGCAGGUGUGGUGCCAGCCUUGUGUUCAUAGAUGAUGAUGAUGAAGUGGAGUUAGAAUACUACAAAAAUUACAAGAAAGAGGAAGAAGUUAUUGGAGGAGAUCUAUCUGAAUUUGAGCUCACUACAGGAGCCUACUAUCUUUGUCGUCGCGAUUACUUCAAGUCAACCACCCCUACCCCUGAUUGGUUAAAUAUGCUAGUUGGUGAUACCCUUCCACAUAAAGGUAAGUUCCUCUUUGAGCUGAUGCUUUUCAUCAAGAUUAAGCAGCAAAUACUGAUACAAUCUUAUAUCACACAGUCAUAGACUUACAAGGAUGGAGAAAAUCUAUUCAGACAGACUACUAUUUCUGAUUGGUUCCAGGUAUGGAGCGGAAAGCAUACAGAGGCGACACUAUUUCUGAUUGGUUCUAAGUAUGUACAUGUAAUCAUUCUUUUCAGCAUAAAAUACAAAUAUUUGUUUGUAAAUUUAAAUAAAUUUGCUGCUUAAAUCCCUUAACCCAACCUAACCUAAUCUAAAUGAAUAUAAGAUUUGUUUCUUAUUAGAAUAAAUUAUAUGUCGACCAUUCCUCAAUGUGCAACUGCCCGCCAUCAGCUUGUUUUUUUCUUCAUAGUUCCUCAUCCUUUAAUCUGAGUUGUUGUCCAACCUUUCCUCAUCUAUGAUUAGAGUGAAUGGUAGACACCACUUUAUACAACUCAAACAUUCGUAGCAACCUUUAGUAAAGCAUAUUAUGAUAUGAUAUGAGCUACAGCUACCUUGUUUUCUUUGAUAACCAUUUUCUAAAAGUAGUGUUGGUAACUUUUUAAACUUUUACAUUUGAGUUUGGAUUGAAGUUAUGUUGUAUAUAUUUUUGUUUCCAGUCAGGCUGGUUCUUACGAUGAGAAAUGAACAGAAACAAGGAUAGAAAAAUAUGGGAAUGGAGAAAAGAUAUGGAGGAGAAGUGAUAUUUGAGAAAUUAAAAGAAGGCUUGAGAAGAAAAUAAGAAUAAUGAAUUAUGAGAGUAGUGCACUUUAAGCUUUAUACACACAAUCUACUGGAAAUUUGAUGCAACUCCCCUCUUCAUUCUUAUCAUUCUCUCUUUCUUUAAUAUUUAAAAACCUAGGAGUAGAUUGUUGGGCAAACGACAUAUACACAUGCAUAAAAGCACACACAUAAAAAAAUGAGCUUGCGAAAAAUAUGAUAUUCAUGGGAUUGUGAUUUGCUACGGAUUUUAGUUUGAACACUUACGGGUGUACUAAUCGAUUUUUAUUGUGCUUGUACACAAUUGAUGAUGGGAAAAGAGCCUACUGCAUGUAAAGGACCUACAGGAAUUGGUAUGAUCCGAAAUGCAUAGACAACUUGAUGAUAUAGACCAACCAGAGAAGUCACCAGAGAGCUAUAGCUUGCUUUCCAUAUAUGAUUACUGAUAGAGAACAGCCCAUUGAGCCUACCAAACCUUGGAAGGUUUAUUCUCGCAAGAAAAGAACGAAAGGUGUAGGGCUGUGAUGCUUUGAGUGAUGGCAUCUUUUUUAGAGAACACUAUAUAUUGUGGUGAAUGCAAGAAUAAGGUCCACGUGAGAGAAUAUUUUUCUGUUAGGAAGGAUCGGCUAAUCAUUAGCUUGGGCAGGAAGGGAAUCAUUAGGUUUCCUUCUCUGAAUUUCCAUUUUGUAUUCUCUAUUUUGAAAUCCGUGAAUCAUAAGCAUUUUGCUCUCGAAUCUGUGGCUUAUUUAUUUCAUCUGUUUAGCAAUUGUUUUUUUUUCUCCUUCCUACCAAUUGGUUCUAUUGCCACGUUUUAUUUCCUUUCUCCACCAUGGUGCAGCCAACGGAAGCCCAAGUCUCUACUCGUUUGAAAACUCUUGAAGCUAGAAUGGAUACACAAGAAGGGAAAAUUGAUCACCUCUCCACCCAAAUCCAGGAGAUGAAAGAACUUAUGGAGAAGUUGUUGCAAAAAUCACCUGAACAAUCCGGAAAAUGCCCUGAAGAAGGAGAAUCAUCUGAAAUCAUCAUUGAAUCUGCUACCCUCCACUUUUCUCUCUUCCUAAGGUCAAACUCCCAAUGUUUGAUGGCACAAAUUUGAUGGUGAAGAAGAGCCAGAAUACUACAAAAAUUACAAGAAAGAGGAAGAAACUAUUGGAAGAGAUCUAUCUGAAUUUGAGCUGACUACAGGAGCCUACUAUCUUUGUUGUCGCGAUUACUUCAAGUCAACCACCCCCGAUUGGUUAAAUAUGCUAGUUGGUGAUACCAUUCCCCAUAAAGGUAAUUUCCUCUUUGAGCUGCUACUUUUCAUCAAGAUUAAGCUGCAAAUACUGAUACAUUCUUGCAUCACACUUUCAUAGACUUACGUGGAUGGAGAAAAUCUCUUCAGGCAGACUACGAAGGGUCAUAUAUGGAGCGGCAAGCUUGCAAAGGCGACACUCAUUCCGAUUAGUUCUAAGUAUGUACAUUUAAUCAUUCUUUUUGGCAUGAAAUACCAAUAUUUGUAAAUUUAAAUCAAUUUGCUGCUAAAAACCCUUGAUCUAACCUAACCAAUUUAUGAAUAUAAGCUUUGUUUAUUAUUCAAAUAAAUUACAUGUGAACCAUUCCUCAAUGUGUAACUGCCUGCCAUCACCUUGUUUUUUCUUCAUAAUUCCUCAUCCUUUAAUCUUGGUUGUUGUCCAACCUUCCCCCAUCUAUGCUCAGAGUGAAUGGUAGACACCGUUUUAUGCAUUGUAGCAGCCCUAGGCAAAGCAUAUGAGCUACCUUGUUUUCUUUGAUAACCAUUUUACUAAAAGUGGUGUAGGUAACUUUUUAAAUUUUUACAUUGAGUUUGGACUGAAGUUAUGUUGUUGUAUUUUUGUUUCCUGAUAGGCCAGUUGUUGCAAUGAGAAAUGAACAGAAACAUGGAUAGGAAGAUAUGGGAAUGGAAAAAAGAUAUGAAGGAGGAUGACACAGAAGUGAUAAUUGUGAAAUUAGUAACGGAGAAGGAGAAAAAGGAAGGCAUGAGAAGAAAAUAAGGAUAAUGACUUAGGAGAGUAACGAUAGAUGAACUUGUAAUUUCCCUCUCCUAUCCUCUCUUUCUCUUAUUCUCUCAUUCUUUCUCUCACUCCCUCUCAUCCCAUCUUGUACGAAAUGGCAUACAUGAACUUACACGAGACGGAUCGGCGCUUGUAGAAAUUGUAGGAGAGGGUCUCGUGCCUGUUGAAAUUGCAAACAUUAAAUUAAUAUGUUGCCUCUGUUAAUGGUCGAGUAAAUGGUUACAUUACUUAAAGAAAAAAUCUUUGACGACGCAAUCAUGACCUUUGUGACAAAUUUAUAAAUAAAGAUUUAAUUACAAUAAUGGUUGUUGGAGCUAUUAUAUAUNAUAUAUAUAUAUAUAUAUAUAUAUAUAUAUGAAAAAAAUCCUAAUAUUGUCCUACAUUUUUUGUGCCAAAUUUUACAAAACAUUAUUUAAUGUAUUAUCAUUCAUUUUUUGAGAAAAAAUUUAUGGCCAUUUUUUAACUAAUUUAAUCGAAAAAGUAAAAUGAAAAUUUUAAAAAUUUUCAUUUAAAACCAAAGUUUAUUUCUAUUCGUUUUAUAUGUUAAAUUCUGUUAUCCCUAAUUACAAUGCUUAGGUAUAACUUUGCAACCAAAGUUUUUUGAUUUUUAUCAAAUAUAUACAUUAAUUCUUACCACUUUAUUUUCAGUUUUUACAUAAUAAUACAUAUAAGUUUAUCAACAUUUGUUAAUUAUCUAUAAUAAAGUCAUAAAAUUAUUAAAAAACUAUUUCAAGUUUCUAAAAAACCAGUAUAACUAGAUUUAGUUUAUUGUAACAACAUGCAGAUGUUAAAAACCAAACAAUCUUCUUAUUUCAUAUUGCAGACGUUUGGUCAAUCUCUUAUACUGCAGAUGUCUGCAGAUAUGGUUCGCAGACUGCAUACAUUUUGCCUCAGAAAAAACAAGCAACACAUUAGUCUUUCUAUUUUUUUUCUAUUGUAGUCGUCUUCUCCCUUAGGUUGUCGAUUGUUUAUUCACCAUCUUCCCAAAGAAACACACACAGGGGCAACGAUCAAUCAACCUUCCCUGUGCAGUCAAAUGCAAAGCCACAACCCUUUAUUAGUUUUAGAUUGAAAUCGACGUCAUUUCCAUCCACUCCGUCAUCGACGCCCUUCCCCUCUGCUCUGCCUUCCCUGCAUCGCCUCCGUUAUGUGUCCUUUGUGCCUCUACCCUUCUUCAUCCUCUUUCUCUCUCUAGCGACCAAUAACAGUCGUUUUAGAUGUAUAAUAUGAAAAUCUUUCGAUUCGGCCGAUAUCAUCCCCCCAAACCACAUCCAACUGGUGGAGACCUUACUGGGAAACCAUGAGUGGUAUGUCGAGGGUGUUGGAUUAGUGUCCAAGCCCGUAACUAUAUUUGGUAUGUACUUGACCCGGUUGUGCAUGGUCCUUUUGGGUUGCCUUCACCAAUGCAACUUGACAAGGUUAUUUAGGAGAGAGAGAAGAUAAUAUGGUUUAUUAAUAUAUUAUAAGAAUAAUAUAUUAAAGGAGAAAUCAUAUUAUUUGAUUAAUAUUAGUCAUAAAUUAAUUAGGAAUUAAUUUGAUGACUAAAAGAGAUUAAUUGAAUAAAGGGCAUAAACUGUCAAAUGUGUGAUAGUUGAGUUUUGGGCUGGGAAACCUAAUGGACUAAGGGGGAAUGAAAUUAUGAUGGGGAUCCAUCAUAUUUUCGUCUAAAGGCCCUAAUCUAGAAGGUUCCAUGGGUUGAUUGGUGACUAAGCUGUCCAUUAGGGUUAAUACUGAAACCCUAGCAGCCUACACUAUAAAUAGAGGCCCUUGGAUGCAAUUUUCGGAUGCUUGACUCCAAGUGAAACCCUAGGGCCGAUUUUUAGUGUUCUUCCACCUCUCUCAUAAUAGCCUUAUUGCUUGUGGUGUUUGUGAACCAUUAGAAGGGUUACAAUUGUGACUCUAAGAUCAAUAUCAAGAAGAUUCAAAGGAUUCCAAGCAAAUUGAAAGAGGUAAACACUUAAAUUUGUUCUUAUAAUGUUGAUUUCGAAUUAUACAUACUAGAUCUAGGGUUGCAAGUCUUGGAUUAAUUAUAUGUACAAUAGAGAAGCCUAGAUCCAAGCUUUAGGGUUUUGCAUGAGCACAUAGGAUGUUCUUUUGCUUUAAAACCAUCGGAGGAUUCAUAUACAGUGCAUCGUCCCUUCACCUCUGGUCGCUUCGUAAGCUCCGCCUCCGCCAACUUCUGCAGGUAAGGGUUUUCUUUUCCUUUUCAUAUGAAAUCGAGUUCAAGAAGUUUUUUUCCCCUAAAAAUAGACUAUCAAGCUAUCAGAUGCAUAAUAUGUCUACACAUAUUGUUUUUGUUGGCAUUUCAUCCAUCAGAAGUUUUGAACUCAACUUGAAACUGAGUUUUUGUCGAAAACUGUAGGGUUUGUUAUAUCUGGGAAGAGGAUUGUGACAAAUGCUCAUGUAGUGGCUGAUCAUACAUUUCUAUUUGUUAGAAAACAUGAUUAUCCUACUAAAUACAUGUCAAAAAUUAAAGUUGUAGGUCAUGAAUGUGAUCUUGCUAUUCGUUUUGACUAGAUUACAUGCUUUUGUACAACUUCCUCCCCAUAUUUGUUUUUAUUCGUUUCUUUUGAUUUGUACAAUUCUUCAUUUAUGUGGAUUCAUGGAUUAUGACAAAACUUCCAGUAAAAGUCAAGUAUGUUGCUCAUGUUAUCCUUCUUUCUCUCUUUUAUAUACCAACCUUUUUUAAGUUUGUUCUUUGCACCUAACUAUUUUUUGUUAUGGUCUUUUGCUAACAUGUUUUGUUUUCAUAUUGACUUUGAAGGUGGAAAUCUGAGUUGUAUUUAUGACACCAAGACUACAAGAUUGAUGGACUGAUGGUCAACCUAUUUGGGAUAUUUUAAAAAUAUUUUUAUUUCUUGGUAUGUAUAUUUUGGUUCAAAGCCAUAGGUAGCAAAACCCAAAAGGUGAAAUAGGAGGAAGCUGCAGCCUUAGAGUUUAAGAAAAGGAAAGGAAAAGAUAAUUGUUAAUUAGUGGAGUACAUCAACGUAUGUAUUUGGUUUUGGUCCUUAAUUCUUCAUCAAUUUUUUUUAUAAAAUUUGAUAGUUUGAUGAAAAUGGUAAUGUAAGUCACCAUUGUAAUGUAUUGUUUAUUUGCAGAAACAUAAAUGUGUUCCUUUGGAUGAUUGUUUUGUUGAAUUCAAACUACAUUGGGUUUGGACUGAAGUUAUGUUGUAUUUUUGUUUCCGAGUGUUGCAAUGAUAAAUGAACAAAAACAUGCAUAUGAUGAUAUGGGAAUCGAAAAAAGAUAUGAAGGAGGAUGACUAAGAAGUGAUAAUUGAGAAAUUAGUAACAGAGAACGAGAAAAAGGAAGGCAUGAGAAGAAAAUAAGGAUAAGGACUCAAGAGAGUAACGAUAGAUGAACUUGCAAUUCCCCUAUCCUAUCCUCUUUUUCUCUGAUUCUCUCAUUCUUUUUCUCACUCCUUCUCAUCCCAUCUUGUAUAAAAUGGCAUACAUGAACUUACAGGAGACGAACCGGUGCUGGUAGAAAUUGUAGGAGAAGGUUUGGUGCGUGUUGAAAGUGCGAACAUUAAAUUAAUAUGUUGCCUAUGUUAAUGGUCCAGUAAACGGAUGAGUAAAUUGAAAUUGAUUUAUGUUUUUGGAAUCAACAUCAUUUCUGAAAGUAAGCUAGAGUUAGGGGCAUUGUGGUAGUUUUAUAUGUUAGUUAUCGAAGUUAUUAACAAAAGUUAUAGGGUAGUUAAGUUCUAGUUAGUUAUUUCAUGGAAAGAACAAUUGAUAUUAAAAGGGUGUAAUGGUUCUGUAAUGGUUGCACCGAUUCAUAUAUGUGUAUAAACAUGUGUUUGAUGUAAUAGCUAGCAUGUGGAGUUACUUAAUAAAAGACUGUUAGCACUGGUACAAAAAUGAGCUAUGGCCACACUUUUUGGAAACAAGGUGUAACGACCCAAUUUUCACGUCCAAAAAUUCCGUUUUUAAAACAUUACUUAGAAAACAUUACUAAUUAAAACAUUGUUCAAUUAAACCAUUUCACAUCGAAAACCCAAAUUGGAAAUCCACAACAUGUAAACAACCAAAAUAUCAGAGUAUCAAUCCCAGAAUGAACUCAUAACUGCGGAAACAAGAGUGUGUGUGAUAUGUCGCUACCGCGCCGGCUCCUUUCCCCUAGCCGAAGAGGUACCUGAAACAAUAACUGAAAAACGUAAGCACAAAGCUUAGUGAGUUCCCCCACCGUACCACAUACCAUAUACUCACAUGACAUACAUAUAUUGUCAGGCAUAUCUGGGUGCCCGACCUACCCCUUCGGUCCUCUCAACCGGAUACUGCCUAGCAUAUCUGGGUGCUGGCCUCCCCUUUAGUCCUCUUGACCGGAUACUGCCUAGCAUAUCUGGGUGUUGGCCUCCCCUUCGGUCCUCUCGACCGGAUACUACCUAGCAUAUCUGGGUGCUGGCCUCCCCUUCGGUCCUCUCGACCGGAUACUGGGGAACUAUUUCUCCCCUCUACUACUACCACAUAACAUGUAUCACAAUAUCAGAAUCUAUCUAUCAUGGCUGGGUAUGACUACCCCUUCGGCCCUACCGACCGGAUAUCUCGGGGACUAUCUCCCCCUACUGUCACUAGCACAUAGCAUCAUAUCAUACUAGCACAUAAACAUAACACAGGUAGUAGUAAUCCCUAGAUGAAUAUCACAGAGACAAUCAUCUACAUACAACUCCUACUGGUGGGCCGACAUUGUGGCCGUAGACCCACCGCUACUGGAAGGUAACUCACCUCGAAAGUAACUGCGGAAGUCUGCUUGCUAAGCGCCUGACUGCUGAAUCAGAAAUCCUCCGGCUAUAAAUCAUAAACAUAGGUUAGCCUCUCAUUCACACCCUUAGGUCAGAUNNNNNNNNNNNNNNNNNNNNNNNNNNNNNNNNNNNNNNNNNNNNNNNNNNNNNNNNNNNNNNNNNNNNNNNNNNNNNNNNNNNNNNNNNNNNNNNNNNNNNNNNNNNNNNNNNNNNNNNNNNNNNNNNNNNNNNNNNNNNNNNNNNNNNNNNNNNNNNNNNNNNNNNNNNNNNNNNNNNNNNNNNNNNNNNNNNNNNNNNNNNNNNNNNNNNNNNNNNNNNNNNNNNNNNNNNNNNNNNNNNNNNNNNNNNNNNNNNNNNNNNNNNNNNNNNNNNNNNNNNNNNNNNNNNNNCUACUCGUCGAGUUAGGCGUUGACUCGACGAGUUCUCCUUCCAAACUGAGGUUCAAGCCCUUCAUCCUACUCGCCGAGUUGUAUGAACAACUCGCCGAGUUCAUCUUCAUCCGAAGAACACUUAUGCUGCGACUCGCCGAGUUGUAUGAACAACUCGUUGAGUCUGUUCUUGAUCUAAGGAGAUUGCCUUGAACUCGCCGAGUCAUGGCAAUGACUCGCCGAGUUCCUUCAUGGAUGAGUUUGGCUUCCAACUUACAGAGUCACGCCCCGUGACUCACUACACUACUCGACACAACGAAAAGGGGACAAACUCAGAGACUCGCGAGCAGACUCACCGAGUCAGAUGGACGACUCGCCGAGUCGUUACCAUGCAGUCUCUAAAUGGUCGAUUUUGCUUGAAUCCAGCUUACGCUAUCCACAGAUCUGGGUUCCUAGAGCAUGAAUAACACGUAAAGUUUCCAACUUUACGUGUAGAUACUCACCAAUGAGGGAUUUAGGGCUCAAAAUGCCUCAAAAGGGUAGAUCUAGGGUGAACAAGCAACAUGGGUCCAUAAAGGUGGUAGAUCCAGGCUCCUGGAGCUCGAUUCCACUUAGAUCUAUGAGCUACUCUGCUUAUUACGAGUCCUCAAGUAAACACAAGCUUGGAAAUGGUUCAAGAAGGACUUUAAUGGGGCCAUAAGCAUGAAAACAUGGGGGAAAACGAGCCAUACCUUAGUGAACACUCUAAGAUAGCUCAAAGAUGAUUGACCUCCUCUUCUCCUUCUUGAUCUCCUCUCAUUCUCACUCCAAAGCUUCAAGAGAACACCAAAGGCUUCAAAUCCACAAUAAUUAAGGCUUAGAACGAGGUAUAGGGCUCUGAGGGUGAAUGGGGGUUGACUUGGGGCGGAAAUGAGAGAUUAAAUAGGGUGCAAACCCCUGAAACUUAGGGUUUCAUCAAACAGCGGUGACUCGCCGAGUCCGGAAUAUGGACUCGCCGAGUCACCAACUUAAACAUGUCCUGGGUCCCGUCUCUACUCGGCGAGUCGGACCUAUGACUCGCCGAGUCCAAGGCUAAAAAUGGAAAAUACUCAAAUAAUCUUACAUACCAGGAACCAGGUGCUACACAAGGUUGUCACGGAUUUGGUUAAUUGUGUCACUAAAGGUCAUUAAUCAAAUUCCAGUCAAAUAUUAGCUAAAAAUAGUCACCAUUGCAAACUAUGUUCAUACAUUUCAUCAUUGUUUAACAUAAAAGUGUGACAAAUACUAGCCGAUAGUCACGGUGGAUCAUUGUGAUUGUAAGUAUUCAUUAUUGACAUUUAAAAAAAACACGUGACUAUAAGUGUUUUAUGAUACCAGUUUAAGUUCAUGUAUGUCUACAGUUAAUGAUUUUGAAUAUAAAAGAGUAAAACAUAUGACUAUAAGUAUUUUAUUAUGACACUAAAAAAACAAAGCAUGUAACAAAGUAUUUUUGUAGUCAUGUUUAAUUUUACGUUUAUCUAGAAGUAACAAAUAAUAACAAUAAUUAACAAAAACAAAAAAAAAAAAAAAAAAAAAAAAAAAAAAAAAAAAAAAAAAAAAAAAAAAAAAAAAAAAAAAAAAAAAAAAAACAUGUCACCAUAAGUAUUUAAUAAUCACAUAUGAAUGUUGAAAAGUGAACAAAAUAUUGAGAGCGAGAUCAAUUUUGCGUCAUCUAACUUUACUAAUAUUGGGAGCCAGAUCAAAAUUUCUAACAGUUUUCCCCCUUUUCCAAAAUAUUUUUAUUUCCGUCUUUCUAAAAAUAUUCCUUAGUCUUUCUCUUUUCUCCUAUUGUANNNNNNNNNNNNNNNNNNNNNNNNNNNNNNNNNNNNNNNNNNNNNNNNNNNNNNNNNNNNNNNNNNNNNNNNNNNNNNNNNNNNNNNNNNNNNNNNNNNNNNNNNNNNNNNNNNNNNNNNNNNNNNNNNNNNNNNNNNNNNNNNNNNACCAAUGACAGUCGUUUUAGAUGUAUAAUAUGCAAAUCUUCCGAUUCAGCCGACAUAUCCCCCCAAACCACAUCCAACUGGUGGAGACCUUAUCGGAAAACCAUGAUCGGAAUGUUGAGGGUUCAUAUACAGUGCAUUGAUGGUAGUCACUGACAUCACAAUAGCCCCUUCACCUCCGGUUAGUGGUGGAUUCAGCCCGAAAGUCAAGUGGGAUGCACCGUUGACCGUUGACCAUAUAAAUUAAUACGAAAAAAUUAAAAUAACAAGAAAUAGAAUAACAUUAUAACCUUAAAUGUCAUUUUACAAUUGAAAUCUAGGACAUAACUAAAAAAUCCAUUGAUGAUAUUUUCAUUCCUAACCUUGGAAAUUUUUUAUGUUUCAAACUGUGCAAAUUACACAAUAAUUUAAAAUUUCAUUUGGAAUCAAUUUGGUUAAACAAUAAAAAACCAUUAAACAAUAAAAAUCAUUAAACAAAACCAUUCAACAUAGAACAAAGGCAAAGUCACUAAGUAAGUUCAAAACUAUUAAGCAAAACAGUUAAGUAAAAAUCUGAACUUUGUACACCCUUUUUAAUCGGUUAUAUAUCUUUCCAUUGUCCCACAUAACUAUUAAGUGCAACAAACUUAAAAACUUUUCGUCGGCGGUGUUGUGCGGCGUCAUACGGUGGUGGGUCGUGUGCGGCGGCAGAUGGUGUCGGUCAGCCGGUGGUGAGCGGCUUCAGGCAAUGGCCUCACUACGUUAGGCAGCGGUGAUGUGUGCCUGGAUUGUGCGAAGUUUUGGCGGCGGUGGGCGGUGGUUCUAGAGUGCUAAUUCCCGACGAUUUUCAUUUGUUUGUGCUAUGGACCAUGGUUUGAGGUUUCCACUUGUUGGGUACUUGGUAGGCUAGGUCAAAGAACGGAAGAGAAGAAUAGACCGGAAGAGAAAAAUGGACGAGGGAAAGAAAUCUAAAUGAGUGGGGACCAAUGUUUGCGAAGUGGGUCCAUAGUUAAAAAUAAUAACGAGAUAAAUUAUUUUUUUUGCAUAUUACUAUAGGGAAAAAAUUUUAAGUGGGGGUCAUGCACCCCACUCCUAUUGAAUUGAAUCCGCCACUGCCUCCGGUAGCUUCGCAAGGCCCCCCCGCCUCUACCAACUUCUGCAUGUAAGGGUUUUCUUUUCCUUUUCAUCUGAAAAUCGAUUUUAAGAAGUUUUUUUUCCCCUGAAAAUCGACUAUCUGUCUAUCAGAUGCAUAUUAUGUCUACACGUAUUGUUUUUGUUGGCAUUUCAUCCAUCGGAAGUUUUGAACUCAACUUAAACUGAGUUUUUGUCGAAAACUGUAGGGUUUGUUAUAAUUGGGAAGACGAUUGUGACAAAUGCUCAUGUAGUGGUUGAUCAUAGAUUUCUACUUGUUAGAAAACAUGGUUCUCCUACUAAAUAUAGGUCAAAAGUUAAAGUUGUAGGUCAUGAAUGUGAUCUUGCUAUUACGAGGUUACAUGCUUUUGUACAGCUUCCUCCUCAGAUUUGUUUUAAUUCGUUUCUUUUGAUUUGUACAAUUCUUCAUUUAUGUGGAUUCAUGGCUUAUGACAAAACUUCUAGUAAAAGUGAAGUAUGUUGCUCAUAUUAUCCUUUUUUUUUUUCUUUUAAAUACCAACCUUUUAUGAGUUUGUUCUUUGCAACUAAUUAUUUUUUGUUAUGGUCUUUUGCUAACAUGCUUUGUUUCAUAUUGACUUUGAAGGUGGAAAUCUGAGUUGUAAUUUAUGACACUAAGCCUACCAGAUUGAUGGACUGAUGGUUAACCUAUUUGGGAUAUUUUAAAAAUAUAUUUAUUUCUCGGCAUGCGUAUUUUGGUUCAAAGCCAUAGGUAGCAAAACCAAAAGGGCUAAAUAGGAGGAAGCUGCGGCCUUAGAGUUUGAGAAAAGGAAAGGAAAAUAAAAUUGUUAAUUAGUGGAGUACAUCAACGUAUGUAUUUGGUUUUGGUCCUUAAUUUUGCAUCAAAUUUUUAUAAAUUUUGAUAGUUUGAUGAAAAUGGUAAUGUAUUGUUUAUUUGUAGGAACACAAAUGUGUUCCUUUGGAUGAUUAUGUUGUUGAAUUCAAACUGCAUACUCAGGUGCUCCUUACUCAUUCUUCUUUGUGCUUUGAGAAUCUUACCAAUUGGUUUUUUAGUCAUUGUAGUAUCAUACUUUCAAGAUUUUCCUAUAUUAUGCCUUGUGAAAUCUUACGGAUUGGUGAAAACAUGUUGCUUGUUGCGGGUAGAAGGCAAGAACUUGGAAAAAAGCAAGUCCUUAUGGCUUUUUGGUCAUUAUAGUAUCAUAUUUUCAAGAUUUUCCUGGUUGGUGAUAUAGCCUAUAAAGCCCUCUGGAAUGACCUAUUCCUACUCAAACCUUACAUGUACGUAUGGUUUAUAUCUAAUUAUAAAUUUCACUUCUUUUUUAACAUAUUUGAUGCAUUAGCACAUUUUUGGAUAGAGAAAUAUUAGUACAUUGUUAUUAUUGGAAAAAAAAAGUAAAUGUACUAGUUAUAUAUGUUGGUCUUUCUUUUUUUAGGUGUGGGAAUUACAUAACAAGUUCAAAGGCAUUGAGAGAUGCAAAUAGAAAUACAACGAAGACUAACACAAUUUAAAUAAUAAAUAGCAAUNGAUAAUUUAACAACCACUUGGUAAUCCAACAAAUGGUUUUUAGUUUUUAUUGUUUUUAACUAAGUUAUACAUUUAUUAUAUUUUGUAUGUAAUUGUAUUAGACAUUUUUAAUGUCUUAGACAAUUUGUAUAAUAUGUUUAUUAAUUUAAGUUGUUUGUUAGAAUAACUUACAUAAUGUGAAUUGAAUAAUAUUUGGCAUAUGAAUGAUUUUAAGUUGUUCAAUAAUAGUCAUGACAAACGAAAAAGUGUGAUUAAAUGUCAAAUAAUAGUCACCGUUUAAUAUAUUAUGUGCCACUAAAAGUCAAUAAUAGUUAUGACAAACGAAAAAAUGUGUGACUAAAAGUAGUUUAUGGUCACAAGUUAAUAUAUUAUGUGUUACUAAAAGUUAAUAUUAGUGUUGACAAACGUAAACCAUGUGACUGAUAGUAGUUUAUUGUCAUAGAUUAAUAUCUUGUGUGUCACUAAAAGUCAAUAAUAGUCAUGACAAACGAACAAGCCGUGUGACUAAAAGUAGUUAUGGUCAUGGUUUAAUAUAUUACAUGUCAUUAAAAGUAAACAAUAUCCAUGAAAAAUGAAAAAAAAAAACAUGUGACAAAUACUUGUUUAUCGUCAUGUUUUAAUAUAUUAUGAGUCACUAAAAGUUAGCAAUAGCCAUGAAAACAAAACAAAUUUCCAAAUUGUGAGGAAAGUAGCAUAUGGUGACGGUUAUCAAAAAAUGAUUAAAAAAACUACAAAAUUUGGUACCCUAUAGUGACGGUUUUUACCUAUAGUAACAGUUUUUAUGGUUAUAGUCAACAUAAUUAAACAUCACCUUAACUUACCUUUAAUGAUGUGACCUUUCCUUUCACAUUGAAUGAAAACAAAAAACCUUCAUAAAAUGUCUGUAGUGACAAGUUUUUUGCAUGGACAAAGACCAGUUUUGUACAAGUGUAGUUUUGUGUGCAAACUAUCCUUUUCAUUUCUCAUCCUUGCAUGAUGUUAGUGCAAGUUUUGUCCCUUUUUGAUUAACUCCCACAAAAUGGUAUCGUAGCCUAUGGUUUUAGGUUCAAUAGGCUGUAGCAUCCUCGUUCAUGGUUGAUUGAUGAUUGUGACCUAAUUGAGAAGAUCUGGGUAAUUAUGUUUUUGAAAGCAUGAAAGAUUGAAGGUUUUUAAGAAGUUGAAGAUAUGCACUAUAUAGAGGGUUUCGUUUGUUACAUUUUUAUUGAUCCGGAUGAAAAGAUUAUGGAAAAGAAUUGUUCAUCUUAACAUUUUUGAACUUGUAUAAGACUUUAAUAUAUUAAAAAAAAAAUUGAAUUCAUACCUUACAUCUUCUUCAUAGAUUAAUCAAUCAUACCAUUAAACUUUCAAAGUAUGUAACCUCAACAACAGUUAACUUCUACGAAACAUAAAGAACAUAAUGAUAAACAAGGAUGUGAUCAAUUGAUACACCAUCAACAAUGAUCAUAGGAUAACACAAAAUUGAUGAAAACUGUUGAGAUGCCCGAAAGAAAAUAACAAAAAACAUAUGUAGUAGAUGUAGUAGGGGUGUUGAUCGGGUAAUUUUUCGGAUUUCAGGUGAUUCGGGUCGGAUAAUUCGGGUUUUUCAUGUUAGAAAAAAUAGCCGUUACCCUACCCAAACUAAAUUCGGGUAAUUCAGGUAUUACCCGAAAUAUAUAAUUUUUUUUUUUGAAUUUCACCUGAAAAUAAAUUUAAUGAAAUAGAUAUGUCGUGCUUUAUUAGUCUUGUUUAUAUAAACAAACGAGACAUAAACGAAGUUACUCAAGCUUUGAACAUUGACAUUUCUUAGUCAAUAAUACUUGAGAUAUCAAGUAAUUUUUUAACAACUUAAUCUAAUAUGAUAAGAUGUUAAAAAAACAAAUACUUAAAGAUUUUAAUUUAGAAGUUUAAAAUGUUUAAGAUAAUUGUAGCCAUAAGUUUUUCCAUGUUCUGAAGUUUCGUCAAGAUUAUGAGUUUGUUAGUUGCAAUAAAAACUAUAAUAUAAAAAACAAUUAAGUUUUAAAGAACAUGAUGAUAUAUAAACAACUACUUUUAAUAUUGUUAGUGUCAUAUUGCCAUAAUAAAUAGAUUCAUGUUUUACAAAAAUGAUAAUUAGUUUAAGCGUGAUCAAAUAUCUGCUAUAUAGUACAAACACUACAAAAAAAAGAAAAUUUUAAAAUAAUUCGGGUAAUUUGGGUAUACCCGAAACCCAAAAAAUAUACCCUUUCCCCGACCCGAAAAAAAUCGGGUUACCCGAUAACCCGAAAAAAUUUACCCGAUACCUGAAAAAAUCGGGUGGGUAAUUCGGGUAUCGGGUAUUUUCGACAGGGCUAAGAUGUAGAGACGUUAGAUUCAAAGACAUAUAGAUACAUAGUCAAGAAACGCCCAAAAGCAGUUGGAUAGAUGAGACUAUCAUGGUCAAAAGUUUUUCAAUGAUUUUCAUUCAUCAUCAAAAAAUGAAUGCUUAAAGGUAAUUUAAUCUGAAAAAAAAAAUAAAAGGAAAAUCAUAUGGAUGAUGGUGUUUGCAAUAUAAAGUAUAUCUAAGAUUUUAAAAUAACCUUACCUUGAAGGAUAAUGGUGACCUUGUACAAAAAUUAAAUGAAAACAGGUGAUCAAACAUACAUAAUCAGGUAAUGUAUCAGGUAAAAUAAGCUUGAAUGAAUACAUUAAUUGGGUCAUGCAUUUCAUCGAACAUCUUGUAGGCAUGUUUCUCACAGAAAAGCAAUAAAUAUAACCUCGCUUAUACCUAAGGUUGUGGACCAUAAACCCUGGAUCGUGGUUUUUGUCAACAAUGUUGCAGAAAAGAUCUAUCCGCUUAUUAGACCGACCGGUAUAGUCACCACGAGCCGUUUCGUGGUUUACGUGUCCACGAACCACGGACGUGCACACCGUCCCGGUGGUUCGUGGUGGUCCGUGUUCGUUGUGAGUCGUGUUCGGGACAACGAAUUCAAACGAAGAAUUCGAUUGGUGUUUGGUUUUUGGCCGUUGAACGGCUAUUUUGGCCCAUUUCUUUUUUUUUUCAAACUCAAUUAUAAAUACACUUCUAAUACCAAAACACAUACACAUACAUACACAUUCUAUUACACCCAUGGAUCCCUCAAUAAAUAUGAAAUUUUUAAAAAGUUUUGACUCGGAUGACGACAUAGAAUUCGUCGAGACAUUCUUCAAUGUUGUGCAACACGUUCACGCCGAAGAAACGAAUGCAGCGCGUACAAGGGCGGUCGUCAAUCGUGAUCGCCAAGCCGCACACGACUUAUUGGUACGUGAUUACUUUGCCGAUAAUUGUCUUUAUAAUGACGACUCGUUCGAACGUCGUUUUCGUCUGAAUAAGGCUAUAUUUUUACGUAUUAGUAAUGCUUUAGAAUCUCGUUAUGAUUUUUUCAAACAAAAACCCGACGCUAGAGGAAGAAUGGGUUUUAGUAGUAUACAAAAAUGUGCGGCUGCUCUUAGGUAUUUGGGAUACGAUAUAGCAUUUGAUGCAUCUGACGAAUACUUGAAAGUAUCCGAGAGGACCGCAGUUGAAUGUGUAGAUUGGUUUUCUGCAUGUGUUUAUGAGGUUUUUCACGAAGAAUAUUUGCGUAAACCUACUCAACGUGAUAUUGAGAGAUUAUAUUCGGCUCAUGAAGAGAGGCAUGGAUUUCCCGGUAUGCUUGGCAGUCUAGAUUGUACGCAUGUGGCUUGGGAAAAAUGUCCAACUGCAUGGCGUGGUCAGUUCACUCGAGGAGAUAUAGGUGAACCAACUAUCAUCCUAGAAGCUGUUGCAUCUCAAGAUUUGUGGAUAUGGCAUGCCUUUUUUGGAGUAGCGGGGUCUAACAACGACCUUAAUGUUCUUGGUCAGUCUCCACUUUUCAACGAUAUUUGGACCGGCAAAGCACCUGAUAUGACGUUCACGGUAAACGGGCACGCGUACAAAUAUGGUUACUACCUUGGUGAUGGGAUAUACCCGGAUUAUUCUACAUUGAUGAAGGCAUACUCAGUUCCUCGAAGUGAAAAAGCAAAAUUUUUUACAAAAAAACAGGAAUCAGCGAGAAAGGAUAUCGAGAGGGCAUUUGGAGUCCUUAAGCAAACAUGGCAUGUAGUAAAUAUGCUACACGACUCUGGGAUAAAGAUAGAAUUAAGCGAAUGGUCCUAGCAUGUAUUAUAAUGCAUAAUAUGAUUAUUGAAGAUGAAGGUCGAGCGAUUUGCACGUAUGAUUCGAACGACGUUGUCAUUCCAAUUGAGGAGUUCGUACCCGGAACGAAUGCUUUUUUGGAGCGAGUUGUUGAAAUUCAUAACAGUGAAACGUGUUUCAAUCUUCGAGAAGAUGUCGCGGAACAUUUGUACCAACAUAGCAUGAACGCCGAUUAGGAUUUUUAUAUGUAUGUUUGUUCGUUUUCUUAUUAAUGUAAUGUUUGUUUUCUAGAUUAACUAAGUAAUGUAGUUUAAAGUUGUUAUUUUAUUUUUAUAAUUAAUGAAAAAAUAGUUUUAAAAAAAUGAAUGCUUUUUACUUAUAAAAAACGUAAUUUUAUUUUAAUUUUUGAAUUAAAAAAAAGUAAUUUUAUUGUAUUUUUGAAUUAAAAAUAAAAUAAAAAUAAUGAUGUGGAGUGGCGUGUUAGUGGUAAGUAUCCCAUGUUAGUGGUAAUGGAAUGUGGUGCUGAUGUGGCACCCACCACAUAUGUGGUAUAUGGUGGGUAUAACGGAUGGUCUUACCGUCAACUAGUGAAAGACCACCCAUCACCAUCACUACUUCAGUCCAUGUCCACCAUCACCAGAUCCUAAAACCCUUCACCGUCAUCAUCAAUUUGGAGAAAGAAAAGAGAACAUAAGAGAAGAAAGUAACCAGAGGAGUCUAAGGUUCGGUGGUUGGAGCAUUGUUGCAAUGGGAGAAAGAAAAGAGAAUGAGAUCUGAAAGCCAGAUGGUCCGGUAAUUGUGGAGUCCAUCGAUUAGGUUCAUCUGGUUCCAAAGGCGGUUAGGGUUCAUCUGGUUCAGCUUCUCUCCACUUCCUUCAUUUUCUUCUCUCUCAUCUAUUAACGAAACUAAAUGCCGAAAUUGUUUUUCUGAGAUUUUUUUGGAUUUGAUGGCAUAAGGUUUGAAAUCUAUAACAUUGAAUUCAUCAACUGGAUUGUAAUUUAUGUUUCAUCAUAUUCUAUGUGAUAUUUUGUGAUUUCUAUUUCAUUAGAUUUUGUUGUUUUGAAUUUAGUUUCUUAAAAAAUUGGUUUUGGUUGUGCUUUUUUUUUUCCCACAAAAUUGAUUAGUAGGUAUGAGCUUGGUUAUGGAUCUUGCUAGAAACACCAAGGACGUAAGCAAGCGAGAAGGCAACGUUUUAGUCGGAGGAAGAUGAAACAGAGUUAUAGGUUGUUCAUCAGAGAAAACGAAGUUAUGGGUUCUUUACCGGAGAAGAUGAGGGUGAGGGUGGGAUGGGUAAAGUAGUAAGGGGGUGGUGAGACCCGUCAGAUUUUAAUAUUUAAUUAAUACCCUUUUCACAUUUAAUUAAUAUUCUUUAAGCUAAUUGAUAAUUUUUAAAAAAUAUAAAAGAAAUUAAUAAGGGCAAAUCAGUCUUUUUAGAAUGUGGACCAAACAUGCAACAAAAAUAUAAAUAAAUGAUGGUCGGAGUUAAAAGAAAUUGCUAGGGACCAAAUAGGUAGAUUACUCUAAAUGACAGGGACCAUCCCUGUAAUUUAACCCUUUGACUAAUUUGAAACAAACGCGUACUUAUUCGCACCAUAACAACAACCGAAAGUCACCGAACACCUCUAAUCCACCAGCGACGUGCCGACGUUGACUUUGAUGCCAUUAUAAUUCCCUUCUUUUUAACAACCUCUCAUAGACGUUGACUUUCAUGCCAUUAUAAUUCUCUUCUUUUCAACAACCUUUCAUCUUACUAAUUUCAAUGACGUCUGCUUCAUCAUCUUCUUCUUCUCUGCUAAAUCAUACCAGCUGCCAUGACGUUUUUUUAAGCUUUAGAGGUGAAGAUACCCGUAAUUCAUUUACAGAUCAUCUAUACGCAGCUUUAGUGCGAGCAGGAGUUCGCACUUUUAGGGAUAAUGAUAAUAUCGACAGAGGUCAAGAACUGAAGCCGGAAAUCGAUAGAGCAAUCAAAGAAUCUAGGGCUUCGAUAGUUGUAUUAUCAGAGAAGUAUGCGAAUUCCAGAUGGUGCCUUGACGAGCUGCUGUUGAUCCUUGAGCAAAGGCGGAGCUUGAAUCAUUUUGUUAUACCGGUGUUUUACCAUGUCGAUCCCUCAGAUGUCAGGAACCAAAGGCAAAGUUUCGCGAUUAAUGUAGGCAAAAGAGCAGAAGGGUCAAAAUGGACAGAGUAUAAUGUCAAUCGAUGGAAGGCAGCUCUUACAGAGGUUGCUGAUUUGACCGGCAUGGUUGUUUCCGGGUAUGCUUUCUCUAUUCAAGCUUAUUGUUUAAUCAUUUGGAAACUCUUUUUGAUUAAUUCAAGUGAGAGUGGUAAAAUAUGAUAAGGAAUCGUAAUAUGUGCCUAGGAAAUGAUAGAAUUCAGGUAUGCUUCUUAAAAACAUCAAGUCAUGGAAUUUUCAAAGUGCAGAACCAGAUGAUGAGAGGCUUAAUGUGUGUAUUACAUAUUUACCUUAGAACUCUAACUCUCUAAGGGGAUGGUUUACUUUUGCACAAAUACUUCAUUUUCUUUACACCUUGUCUCUAGACACAUUUGGCAUGGUAAUUGAAUUUUCUGCAUAAUGAAGAUUGCAAGUUUACUUGAUGGGAUAAAUAGCUUUUCGGUUAUGUAUUAGACAUUCUCCUCCUUACUUAUGAAUAGUUUACUACAAAUCUACAAUAUACACAUAUUCACGUAUCAGUUAUGUAUAUAUAUGAUGUGAAAUAGUGAGUGAGAAGUGAAGCUAAAAUUAAAACUGAUAACAUAGCGGGUAUUGGGGUUUGAAUUUGUCCCUACAGGUAUUGCGUGUAUCUAGUUGGCCUUGACAUUAUUGAAAACAUAAUUCAAUCAGAUUGCAUAUAUCCGUACACCUCAGUUCACAUAUUUAGCAGGUUGAUAAUGGUUGCAGGAAGAAUAUUAAAUUUACUAGAGCAUUUGAAUUCCUUGCACUAUAACUGAAGCAGUUAAGGUGUAUAAGAAGAUUACAUGUCAUGUUCUGAAUGUGUUUCUUUUCUUUUUCUAUUGUUGCAGGUCUGAAAUAGAUUUUAUUUCAGAGAUUGUUCGUACAAUCAAGUAUGAACUAGAUUUGAAACUAGUUAGUACUCCUGCUCAUCUAGUUGGAAUGGGCACUCGAGCUAAAUCUAUAAACUCAUGGUUGGAAAAUGAGCAAUCUGGUGAUAACAUUCUAGCAAUCUGUGGCAUGGGAGGUAGUGGCAAGACGACUCUGGCCAAAUUCAUUUACAACUCAAACAAACAAAAAUUUGGAAGCAGCAGUUACCUUGAAGAGAUCGGAAAGCAUUCUAAACAGUCUGAUGGUUUGCUUGGACUACUGAAACAACUUCUCAAGGACAUUUUAGGGGAAAAGAGGGCAAGUAUAUCAAGUGUUUCAGAGGGUACAAG